UGCAAUUCAAACAGCUACCAUGCAGUCGAGCGGUAACAGGGGUAGCUUGCUACCCGCUGACGAGCGGCGGACGGGUGAGUAAUGCAUGGGAAUCUGCCCGAUAGUGGGGGAUAACUCGGGGAAACCCGAGCUAAUACCGCAUACGUCCUACGGGAGAAAGCAGGGGAUCUUCGGACCUUGCGCUAUCGGAUGAGCCCAUGUCGGAUUAGCUUGUUGGUGAGGUAACGGCUCACCAAGGCUGCGAUCCGUAGCUGGUCUGAGAGGAUGAUCAGCCACACCGGGACUGAGACACGGCCCGGACUCCUACGGGAGGCAGCAGUGGGGAAUAUUGGACAAUGGGGGAAACCCUGAUCCAGCCAUGCCGCGUGUGUGAAGAAGGCCUUAGGGUUGUAAAGCACUUUCAGUGGGGAAGAAGGCAUGAUGAUUAAUACUCGUCAUGAAGGACAUCACCCACAGAAGAAGCACCGGCUAACUCCGUGCCAGCAGCCGCGGUAAUACGGAGGGUGCAAGCGUUAAUCGGAAUUACUGGGCGUAAAGGGCGCGUAGGCGGCUUGCCAAGCCGGAUGUGAAAGCCCCGGGCUCAACCCGGGAACGGCAUUCGGAACUGGCAGGCUAGAGUGCAGGAGAGGAAGGUGGAAUUCCCGGUGUAGCGGUGAAAUGCGUAGAGAUCGGGAGGAAUACCAGUGGCGAAGGCGGCCUUCUGGACUGACACUGACGCUGAGGCGCGAAAGCGUGGGUAGCAAACAGGAUUAGAUACCCUGGUAGUCCACGCCGUAAACGAUGUCGACCAGCCGUUGGACCCCUUGAGGGUUUGGUGGCGCAGUUAACGCAAUAAGUCGACCGCCUGGGGAGUACGGCCGCAAGGCUAAAACUCAAAUGAAUUGACGGGGGCCCGCACAAGCGGUGGAGCAUGUGGUUUAAUUCGAUGCAACGCGAAGAACCUUACCUGCUCUUGACAUCCUGCGAAUCUCCCAGAGAUGGGAGAGUGCCUUCGGGAACGCAGAGACAGGUGCUGCAUGGCUGUCGUCAGCUCGUGUUUGUGAAAUGUUGGGUUAAGUCCCGUAACGAGCGCAACUCCUAUCCCUUUUUGCCAGGCGGUUCCCGACGGCACUUCAGGAGACUGCCCGGUGACAACUGAAGAAGGUGGGACGACGUCCAAGUUCAUUCAUUGCUCCUAACGAAGCAAGGCUACACCACACGGUUGGCCUUACCAGAUG
rnacentral:rRNA from 1 species